AACCCCCUACGGGGGGCAGCAGUGAGGAAUAUUGGUCAAUGGGCGAGAGCCUGAACCAGCCAAGUCGCGUGAAGGAUGACGGCCCUAUGGGUUGUAAACUUCUUUUGUCGGGGAGCAAUUGGGUCCACGCGUGGGCUUAGCGAGAGUACCUGAGGAAAAAGCAUCGGCUAACUCCGUGCCAGCAGCCGCGGUAAUACGGAGGAUGCGAGCGUUAUCCGGAUUUAUUGGGUUCAAAGGGUGCGUAGGCGGAAUAUCAAGUCAGCGGUAAAAAUUCGG
rnacentral:rRNA from 1 species